GGCACAAACUUGAAGUAGAGUUUAUUAGUAUAGUCAGAUGACACCGCUAAUUGACUCUACUUCAAAUUUGGGCCC
rfam:Haemonchus contortus, ISE/inbred ISE, WGS project CAVP01000000 data, contig: Hcontortus_4434